rnacentral:rRNA from 1 species
GUGCAGCAGUCGCGAAAACUUCACACUGUGCGAAAGCACGAUGAGGGAAUCCCAAGUGCUUGCACGUAAGUGUAAGCUGUUUCUCUGUCUAAAACGCAGAGAGAGUAAGGGCUGGGUAAGACGGGUGCCAGCCGCCGCGGUAAUACCCGCAGCUCAAGUGGUGACCGUUAUUAUUGGGCCUAAAACGUCCGUAGCCGGUUUAAUAAAUGCCUGGGUAAAUUGUGUAGCUUAACCAUACGAAUUCCGGGUAGACUGUUAAACUUGAGACCGGGAGAAGUUAGAGGUACUCCUGGGGUAGAGGUGAAAUUCUGUAAUCCUAGGGGGACCACCAGUGGCGAAGGCGUCUAACUAGAACGGGUCUGACGGUGAGGGACGAAGCCCUGGGGCGCAAACGGGAUUAGAUACCCCUGUAGU